rnacentral:rRNA from 1 species
ACUCCUACGGGAGGCAGCAGUGGGGAAUAUUGGACAAUGGGCGCAAGCCUGAUCCAGCCAUGCCGCGUGAGUGAUGAAGGCCCUAGGGUUGUAAAGCUCUUUCACCGGUGAAGAUAAUGACGGUAACCGGAUAAGAAGCCCCGGCUAACUUCGUGCCAGCAGCCGCGGUAAUACGAAGGGGGCUAGCGUUGUUCGGAUUUACUGGGCGUAAAGCGCACGUAGGCGGACUAUUAAGUCAGGGGUGAAAUCCCGGGGCUCAACCCCGGAACUGCCUUUGAUACUGGUAGUCUUGAGUUCGAGAGAGGUGAGUGGAAUUCCGAGUGUAGAGGUGAAAUUCGUAGAUAAUCGGAGGAACACCAGUGGCGAAGGCGGCUCACUGGCUCGAUACUGACGCUGAGGUGCGAAAGCGUGGGGAGCAAACAGGAUUAGAUACCCUUGUAGUCC